CCGGAAUCGCUAGUAAUCGCGGAUCAGAAUGCCGCGGUGAAUACGUUCCCGGGUCUUGUACACACCGCCCGUCACACCAUGGGAGUCGGAAAUGCCCGAAGUCUGUGACCCAACCGUAAGGAGGGAGCAGCCGAAGGCAGGUCGGAUGACUGGGGUGAAGUCGUAACAAGGUACC
rnacentral:rRNA from 1 species